rnacentral:misc_RNA from 1 species
GGAAGUGAAAGUCGUAACAAGGUUUCCGUAGGUGAACCUGCGGAAGGAUCAUUCAUAAUAAGUGUUUUAUGGCACUUUUUUAAAUCCAUAUCCACCUUGUGUGCAAUGUCAGGGUUGAUUUUUCUCUCGAGAGGAUCAACCCCAAACAUCAACUAUAUCUCAACUCUUUGUCUGAAAAAUAUUAUGAAUAAAACAAUUCAAAAUACAACUUUCAACAACGGAUCUCUUGGCUCUC